rnacentral:tRNA from 1 species
AGGGCCUAUAGCUCAGUCGGUUAGAGCAGCGGACUCAUAAUCCGUUGGUCCACAGUUCGAGUCUGUGUGGGCCAUAC